CGCGGGAUGGGCGACGAUCGCCGCCAGUCUUCCUGCGCGCUCUCUCUCUCUCGCUUUCUCUCUCUCUCUAUCUAUCUCUCUCGUUCUUUUUCUCUCGGGUUCUGAGCCGCACAGCCGGAGGGUCUCUCACGGGCUUCUCAGCUCUGCUCUGGGGUCUCCGCGAGCCCCCCUGGAACGAAGGGAUGCACGGAGAGAGGGAUGAGGAGGGACGAGCUCGCCGAGCGCGAGGAGAAAAUGAUGACCAUCCAGCCUUACGGCAGCACCCACAGGCAAAGCUGUUCUCCAACCACAUAAAAAUAGGAACAUUAAUCUCAUUCACCAAACAUCUUGAAGUCCAAGCUUCGGUUCUCUGAGUUGGAGGCCACCAACUAUUCCUGCUGUCCUCAGAACUCCUCAGAAGGCCUAAAAAGCUACCAAUUUCAAGGUAAUAAUGUAAUUUUCUAACCUCA
rnacentral:lncRNA from 1 species